ACCACUUUGUGAUGCAUGACUGGGGUGAAGUCGUAACAAGGUAACCGUAGGGGAACCUGCGGUUGGAUCACCUCCUUA
rnacentral:rRNA from 1 species